rfam:Physcomitrella patens subsp. patens PHYPAscaffold_70 genomic scaffold, whole genome shotgun sequence.
GAAGAUGAUGAGUAAGAAUUGUCGCCCCAGUCCUACGUGAGCGUAAGGGUUCCCUGAGGAUUGACUCAUUACUUUUCUGAUUC